AUAGUUUGGUAAUAGAGCACUUGCCUCACAAGCAAGAAGUCCUGGGUUCAAUCCUCAGU
rnacentral:tRNA from 1 species